AUUGAACGCUGGCGGCAUGCUUUACACAUGCAAGUCGAACGGUAACAGGUUAAGCUGACGAGUGGCGAACGGGUGAGUAAUGCAUCGGAACGUGCCCGAUCGUGGGGGAUAACGCAGCGAAAGCUGCGCUAAUACCGCAUACGAUCUGAGGAUGAAAGCGGGGGACCGUAAGGCCUCGCGCGAUCGGAGCGGCCGAUGUGAGAUUAGGUAGUUGGUGGGGUAAAGGCUCACAAAGCCGACGAUCUGUAGCUGAUCUGAGAGGACGACCAGCCACACUGGGACUGAGAGACGGCCCAGACUCCUACGGGAGGCAGCAGUGGGGAAUUUUGGACAAUGGGGGGAAGCAUGAUCCAAAAAGUCCGCGUGCAAGAAGAAGGCCUUCGGGUUGUAAACUGCUUUUGUACGGAGCGAAAAGGUCCUUUCUAAUACAGAGGGCUCAUGACGGUACCGUAAGAAUAAGCACCGGCUAACUACGUGCCAGCCGCCGCAGUAA
rnacentral:rRNA from 1 species